rnacentral:rRNA from 1 species
UGAAGCUGGAAUUGCUAGUAAUGGCAGGUCAGCAUACUGCCGUGAAUACGUUCCCGGGCCCUUGUACACACCGCCCGUCACACCAUGAGAGUUGGGAAUACCCGAAGCCUGUGAGCUAACGAAAGAGGCAGCAGUCGAAGGUAGAAUCAAUGAUUGGGGUGAAGUCGUAACAAGGUAGC